GGGGGCCCGACAGCGCGAAACUUUACAAUGCUGGAACAGCGAUAAGGGGACCUCGAGUGCCAGGUUACAAAUCUGGCUGUCGUGAUGCCUAAAAAGCAUUGCAUAGCAAGGGCCGGGCAAGACCGGUGCCAGCCGCCGCGGUAACACCGGCGGCUCGAGUGGUAACCGUUAUUAUUGGGUCUAAAGGGUCUGUAGCCGGCCGGAUAAGUCUCUUGGGAAAUCUGGCAGCUUAACUGUCAGGCUUUCAGGAGAUACUGUCUGGCUCGAGGCCGGGAGAGGUGAGAGGUACUUCAGGGGUAGGGGUGAAAUCUUGUAAUCCUUGAAGGACCACCAGUGGCGAAGGCGUCUCACCAGAACGGACCUGACGGCAAGGGACGAAAGCUAGGGGCACGAACCGGAUUAGAUACCCGGGUAGUCCUAGCCGUAAACGAUACUCGCUAGGUGUCGGCAACGGUGCGACCGUUGUCGGUGCCGUAGGGAAGCCGUGAAGCGAGCCACCCGGGAAGUACGGCCGCAAGGCUGAAACUUAAAGGAAUUGGCGGGAGCACACCACAACGGGUGGAGACUUGCGGUUUAUUGGGAAUCC
rnacentral:rRNA from 1 species